GACUUAUCCAGAAAGACUGAGGGAAGAGGCCCUGUGAUGUCUUAGCAACCUGUUACCAAAUAAGGUGCUAAAUCCUUCCACUACGGUGGACAGAUAAGAU
rnacentral:ncRNA from 1 species